rnacentral:piRNA from 1 species
UGCUUGGCUUACCUUUUGAUUUGUGUGA